GGAAUUGCCUCAGUAACGGCGAGUGAAGCGGCAACAGCUCAAAUUUGAAAUCUGGCGGCCUCUGGGCCGUCCGAGUUGUAAUUUGAAGAGGAUGCUUUUGGCGAGGCGCCUUCCGAGUGCCCUGGAACGGGACGCCACAGAGGGUGAGAGCCCCGUAUGGUUGGACGCCGAGCCUCUGUAAAGCUCCUUCGACGAGUCGAGUAGUUUGGGAAUGCUGCUCAAAAUGGGAGGUAAACCCCUUCUAAAGCUAAAUACUGGCCAGAGACCGAUAGCGCACAAGUAGAGUGAUCGAAAGAUGAAAAGCACUUUGAAAAGAGAGUUAAAUAGCACGUGAAAUUGUUGAAAGGGAAGCGCUUGCGACCAGACUUGUGCCCGUCGAAUCAGCCGCCGCUCGCCGGCGGCGCACUUCGGCGGGCUCAGGCCAGCAUCAGUUCGCUGCAGGGGGAGAAAGGCGGCGGGAAUGUGGCUCUUCGGAGUGUUAUAGCCCGCCGCGCAAUACCCCUCGGCGGACUGAGGACCGCGCAUCUGCAAGGAUGCUGGCGUAAUGGUCGUCAGCGACCCGUCUUGAAACACGGACCAAGGAGUCGUCCUAAUAUGCGAGUGUUCGGCUGUCAAACCCCUGC
rnacentral:rRNA from 1 species